rnacentral:miRNA from 1 species
CAGGGGUGGGAAAGGCAUAGUAGGGUUUAGGAAGUUUUUGGAAUGAGCGUGUUGGAAAAGAAAAGACUCAACAACCCAUGUUUCUUUGCCAACCCCGCCCAUUCCAAAUAUUUUCUAAGCCUACUGCCUUUCCCUUUCUCUC